rnacentral:lncRNA from 10 species
GAUGAUGAUGGAAGUGUUUUGUGCCUAGAAAGGCAUUUGUUGCAUCUCAGGCAUUCUUUUCAUUCUGACCACCCAGAUCUGACCCUGGCUGUGCCCAUCUGUAACUCUCUGGCUAUCAUCUUCACACUGAUUGUUGGGAAGGCCCUUGGAGAAGAUAUUGGUGGAAAACUUGCUGGCAUGGUGCUCACCGUGAUAGGAAUUUCACUCUGCAUCACAAGCUCAGUGAGUAAGACCCAGGGGCAACAGUCUACCCUUUGAGUGGGCCGAACCCACUUCCAGCUCUGCUGCCUCCAGGAAGCCCCUGGGCCAUGAAGUGCUGGCAGUGAGCGGAUGGACCUAGCACUUCCCCUCUCUGGCCUUAGCUUCCUCCUCUCUUAUGGGGAUAACAGCUACCUCAUGGAUCACAAUAAGAGAACAAGAGUGAAAGAGUUUUGUAACCUUCAAGUGCUGUUCAGCUGCGGGGAUUUAGCACAGGAGACUCUACGCUCACCCUCAGCAACCUUUCUGCCCCAGCAGCUCUCU